AGCUGCAAUAGCGUAUAUUAAAGUUGUUGCUGUUAGAAAGCUCGUAGUUGAAUUCAAAUCAUGCUGUUUUGGUACGGGUUCUACUCGCUUACUGGGGCAGUGUGUUUUGUAGUCGUGCACAAUAUUUAUGCCCUUUAAUGGGUGUUUUUAUUGGCUGGCAUGUUUACUUUAAAAAAUUAGAGUGCUCAAAGCAGGCUUUAGCCUGUAUACUGCUGCAUGGAGUAAGGAAAUAGGACUUCGGUUCUAUUUUUCUGGUUUUCGGAAUUGAAGUAAUGAUUAAAAGGGACAAACGGGGGAAUUCAUAUACCAAGGGGAGAGGUGAAAUUCUGAGAUCCUUGGCAGACGGUCUACCGCAAAAGCAUUUGCUAAGAAUGUUAUCAUUAAUCAAGAACGAAAGUAC
rnacentral:rRNA from 1 species